GACGAAGGGGGCUAGCGUUGUUCGGAAUUACUGGGCGUAAAGCGCGUGUAGGCGGUUGUCCAAGUUGGAUGUGAAAGCCUUGAGCUUAACUCAAGAAAUGCAUUCAGGACUGGAUGACUAGAGGACCGGAGAGGAUAGUGGAAUUCCCAGUGUAGUGGUGAAAUACGUAGAGAUUGGGAAGAACACCAGCGGCGAAGGCGGCUAUCUGGACGGUUUCUGACGCUAAGACGCGAAAGCGUGGGGAGCAAACAGG
rnacentral:rRNA from 1 species